rnacentral:rRNA from 1 species
GACGAACGCUGGCGGCGUGCCUAAUACAUGCAAGUAGAACGCUGAAGGAGGAGCUUGCUUCUCUGGAUGAGUUGCGAACGGGUGAGUAACGCGUAGGUAACCUGCCUGGUAGCGGGGGAUAACUAUUGGAAACGAUAGCUAAUACCGCAUAAGAGUAGAUGUUGCAUGACAUAUGCUUAAAAGGUGCAAUUGCAUCACUACCAGAUGGACCUGCGUUGUAUUAGCUAGUUGGUGAGGUAACGGCUCACCAAGGCAACGAUACAUAGCCGACCUGAGAGGGUGAUCGGCCACACUGGGACUGAGACACGGCCCAGACUCCUACGGGAGGCAGCAGUAGGGAAUCUUCGGCAAUGGACGGAAGUCUGACCGAGCAACGCCGCGUGAGUGAAGAAGGUUUUCGGAUCGUAAAGCUCUGUUGUAAGAGAAGAAACGAGUGUGAGAGUGGAAAGGUC